rnacentral:rRNA from 1 species
GACGAACGCUGGCGGCGUGCCUAAUACAUGCAAGUCGAACGCAGUGGGGCCGGGUGAGUAACCCGUGGGUAACCUCCCAUCAGAGGGGAUAACACUUUGAAACAGGUGCUAAACCGAUACUGAUGGAUGGACCCGCGUUGCAUUAGCUAGUUGGUGAGGUAACGGCUCACCAAGGCCACGAUGCAUAGCCGACCUGAUAGGGUGAUCAGCCACACUGGGACUGAGACACGGCCCAGACUCCUACGGGAGGCAGCAGUGGGGAAUCUUCGACAAUGGGCGAAAGUCUGACCGAGAAACGCCGCGUGAGUGAAGAAGGUGUGCGGAUCGUAAAACUCUGUUGGUAGAGAAGCGGUAUCUAAACAGAAAGCCACGGCUAACUACGUGCCAGCAGCCGCGGUAAUUC